CAAUAAAAUUCUCCAAAUUCAGACUUCAGAAUGGCCCUGAGACCAAGGAAUAUAGGAAAUGAAUGAAAACACAGAAAUAUUGGAAGGCCAAAAAGGCAAGAAGGAUUCAUGCAGACACUCAAGUGUCUCUGAUAUCAAGAUUAACAAUGAGAUUUGUUCUGCUGUUUCUCAGGCCUGUUGGAAGUGAACUGAAUAAUUUGUUGGCAGUCUCUGAUACAAUAUAUGCAAUCAUCUGUAGAUACCUCCUUAGUGAUGCAACUAGGGAAAAGGCUCACUGGCUGUUUCAGAGUAAUGAGAGGAUAAAUUCAAUACUGAUCUUCUAUCCACGCAAUGACACCUUCGAGGGUCUGAGAGAAAGUUCCAGUCAAAUCCACAUGCAUUAAGAGUCUGUAUCAUGAAUGUUCUGCUUGGGCUGCCCUGAUACCCUGAUUUAAAGCUGUUCAAGCGGGCAAAAUGGCAAGACUUGGGAGGCUCAUCUUCAAAUACAUGUAUUUUUGAACCCCACAUUUUCAGUGAUUGUGCAGCGUUCUGUCCGUGAACUUCCAGAGUUUGCAUUAAAAAGUGACAGAAGAUCAGAGUGCCAGAAGCUUCUCAUAUUGUGGCCCUGAAGGUAAAAGCAAAAGAAGCCAUGCUUGGUCUGUGUUUGGGAACCAUGUCCAAACCCUCUGCAAAACUCUUGUGACAUGAGAGAGAUCUUAAAGAAAUGGGUUGGGAUUUUGAACAUGGACUAAAUACAAUUAAGAGAUGCUAAGGAGUAUAGACUUGGUGCUUUGUCUUGCAUGUUUUCAUGAUGUUUUUUCUGCAAUUUCUAAAAACUAGAAAGAGGAAUUCAGUCCAAUCCAAUUUCUAGUUGAUUAGUUAAUGAUGUGUUAGGAAUUCAGUUUGCCUUUUUUUCCUUUUCCUUAUCCUGUACAAUCCAGUGUCUCACAAGUAACAUUGUAUUAAACAUCUCUACAUUAACACCUGCAGUAAAAGAGCAGAAUAUACAGGAAAUUAGCUGCUUCACUUCUGGCAGUAUUUCCUCUGAAUUUGUGAAAAUUUAGAUCAGAAUACUGUUUUAGAAGGUGAGAAAAGUUCCUCAGGUUACACAGUAGCUUUGGCAAUCAAUAGUAGACCUAUCAAAGUGAGAACACAAGUCUCCAUCCUGAACAGCAGGUUAGGAGCAAACUAAGAAUUUUCUCUUGAGAAAUACAUUUUUGAGAGGGAUCAAUUUACCUGAGAAUACAAGCAGAUGAAAUAAAGGAAUGGGGGAUAUGAUUUUUAAUGAUUUAGACAUUUCUGAGAUGAACACUAAGAUUUUACUUAAUCCCAAAUUAGCAAUUGCUAAUUCAGUCACAUGUUUUUGUGUUCAAUCUUAGAAAAACUUGAAACAACCACCUUGUAUCUAGGCCUUUACACACUUGAGUAUAGAAUUGUGUUCAUACUAAGGACAUUUAAAAAUGUUAUAGGAGUGAAUUUUAAUUAUUAUGAUGGGCUAGAACUCUGCCAGUCACUUAGCAGUUAAAGUUUAAUCUCCGAUCAAUUGAAGUUUUCAUUACUAAGCAAUUAACAUUUAAAAUUUUAAGUGAUAAGUACUUAACUGCAUUCUGGAAAUAGUGGGUUGGUGGUAGAAAAGCCUGGCAGGGUUCUGAAGAAUGUCAAGUCCGGAAAAGUGAUUUGGUUAGGGCUGCCAGGGAGAAAAGAGCUUCUGAGCCCUACAAGCUUUGAUCAUAACUUAUAAAUAAAGGCCGAUGGAACUGAGCUUGCUCAGUAGCAGAAUGUGCUAGAGAUGGUGCCUGUGGGGAAGGGAAAACAGUGGAGUAAUUGGGAAAGUGUGGUUGUCUAGGAGUUGAGUUAAUAUGGUCAGAGCUAGAGGUCUAAACACAGGGAUCAAGGUGCAUGGCCCAGUCAGCCCUCUCUCCAUCUGGGCUUGGCUGCUGACAUCAAGGUGUGCUGAGACAUUUACCUACCAACGUGUAAGCAUAGGCAGAAAAUGCUGUGGCUGAUAGAAAAUGAAGACUGACUGGAGCUAAACUUUGCAGCAAGGUUACCUCAGUGAUGAUUUGACAGUUGGGAAGCUUGGACCAGCAAAACCACAGAACUGAAAUAAUUCAAGAUUUGUCAAUAAGGAAAAAGACAAAGACACUGUUGGUUGAAUUACAUGUGUAUUAUAUGUAUAUUUACCUUGAAUAUUCAAGUAAAAAUCUAUAAGCCCCCAAAACAGCAAAAUAAUCUCUCUAUAUGUUUUGGAACGUGCUGGUUGCGCCCAACCCAAAUUUCUGUGUCUCAGCAGAUCAACUCAGAGAUAUGUGCACAUGCGCAGGUUACAUUCCUAUACAUUCCACAUAUGCAGGUAAAGCAUCAGCAGCAAGGAUUCUGCAGUGGGUGAUAUAACUGUAGACAAUCUCCAUUAGAAUUUCAGAGGAGCUAUUUAGCAUUUUUCAUAUUGCUUAGGUUAUUUACAGUUCACUAUUUAAAAGGAAAAAACAUUGAGAAAGGUUUAUCUUCUAAUAAAUCAAGACUAUUAUGACGUCAAGUCACAAAGCCUAAGGGUAUAAAGGCAGUUGCAGAAGCUGCCUCUUGCAAAAUAUUAUGUGUACUAUAUUAUACUGGCUAGCUGAAUUAAAAGUGCUUCUGUGAAGAAUUAGAAACAAUUAGAAAUGAAAAAAAUACAAUGUGGAAAAAAUAGGACUGACAAUUUUUUGUUGAGAUUCUUGUGGGAAUCAAGUUGGAAAACAAGCCAUUGAAUACACCAAUUGAUAUUUUCUAAUGGUCUGUUUGAAUUUGACGUUAUAUAAUGUUGUAUGCAUGUGCAUUCCAGUAUUAUAGCUGACAGAACUAUCCUAAUGUUUUUAUCUGUGAAAUUUCAUUUUAAAAUUUAAAUCUCAGUGUUUUAACUGAUAGCAUUGAACACAUCAAACUAAUGCUGUUAAAACUAUGAAGUGUUUGGAACAGUUUCAGAAGACCAAACUAUAAUAUCCCUAACUUUGUAUAUGGGAAGGAUUAUAUUGGCCUCAACCAUCUAAUUCUAAACUCUGGGACUCCAGUAGGCUGUUUGAGGACUUAGUGCUCUAUGUGUAUAUAUUUGCAAGUAUUUUUAAUAUUUCUUCAUAAAAG